rnacentral:rRNA from 1 species
AUUGAACGCUGGCGGAAUGCUUUACACAUGCAAGUCGAACGGCAGCACGGACUUCGGUCUGGUGGCGAGUGGCGAACGGGUGAGUAAUGUAUCGGAACGUGCCCAGGCGUGGGGGAUAACGCAGUGAAAAUUACGCUAAUACCGCAUACGAUCCAUGGAUGAAAGCGGGGGAUCGCAAGACCUCGCGCGAUUGGAGCGGCCGAUAUCAGAUUAGGUAGUUGGUGGGGUAAAGGCCCACCAAGCCAACGAUCUGUAGCUGGUCUGAGAGGACGACCAGCCACACUGGAACUGAGACACGGUCCAGACUCCUACGGGAGGCAGCAGUGGGGAAUUUUGGACAAUGGGCGAAAGCCUGAUCCAGCCAUUCCGCGUGCAGGAUGAAGGCCCUCGGGUUGUAAACUGCUUUUGUACAGAACGAAAAGGUUUCUACUAAUACUAGGAGCUCAUGACGGUACUGUAAGAAUAAGCACCGGCUAACUACGUGCCAGCAGCCGCAGUAA